CCAUAUUGAUUUCGAGUGAUUUUCAUAAUAAUCUCCUUCUCUUGAUUGUAAAGGAUCGCACCUAAGUUUCAUUCCCCUUCAAUGGUUGUAUUAGCAUCAGUAUUAAAGGUAAACGUGCUUUCUCCAUAUCAAGAGCUUAUCAUCUUCUCCUUCAAUUUGUCCAGCUUAUUGAAAUUCAUAUUGUUUUACUCUCUAUUGUCUAGUUGAUCGUGAUUCUUGCGUUGAGUUUUGUUAUUUCUCCAUGUGUCAUAAUUAUCAUUAUCUCUACUUUCUUCAUUACCCUCAUGCUUCAAGUUCAUAUUCAAGCUGCUACCUUGGUUGUGCUCAGGAUGCUGGGUAGUUUGAUUAAUUUUUUUCCUUCUGCUUGCUACUCUUAGGAUACUGGAUAGUUUGAUGAAUCUUUUCCUUCUGCUCGUUACUAGAUUCGUAGGUUGAUUUUUGUAGUAUUUAUCUCUUUGUUGCUUUCAUUCAUCAUCUUCACAUUCUGACUAGUGGUAUGUUGCAGGUUGUUACCGAGCUUCACCCAUGAUUUACUUUUCUCCCUGUGGAUACUUCCUUGAGAGAUCCUCGCCUCCUGCUUAUUAUUCUUCUGAUUCCAGGUCAUGCUCUUAGUAUGUCUUUUAUGCUUGGUUUUUUGUUGUUGUAUCUUCUCCCAAAGUUUGUUUGAAUCCUCAUUGCUACCUUCAUCCCUGUCAACUUUUCUAUAAGAUGUAUCAUGCUCUUGGGUGACAUAUGAGCUUCUCUCACUAUCUUUACUCAAGUACCUCCCCUUGUCUUCCAUGUUAAACUUCUUUCUUACGUCUUUGGCCCUAUUAAUUUUUAUCUCCUUAUUCAGACACUGAGUAUUCACCUGCUGGUUUGCUUUCCUAUUAUCCAGAUUGUCAGGGUUAGUUUCCCUAAUAACUAGAGGCACAUUGUAAUGAGGAGAAUUUUUAUUGUAAUCCCAAAUGUUCAACUUAUGGGAGAUGUUGUUAUCAUAAUUCCCUCGGCUAUUGACAUAGCCACUACCACUGCCAUAUUUCCCUUCUCAACCAUCCACUAAGGUAAUUCUUUGAUCUUCUUCUUUAAUGUUGCGAAGAUGAUUAUUUAUAAAGGUGUUUACCAUAAAUUGUAUUUGAUUAUAGGCAUGUAUGUUAUAUUGGCUAACCCUCCCCCCCUGUUUUCCAAUGGUACGCCUUCCUUCUCCCUUUAUCGACUUUUCUAUAUUUGUUGUUCAUAUUAUCGCCUCCAUAGUUGAUAUAAAGGUGUUGAUUGUAGGAAUUCUACCAGAUUUUAUCAGUACUCGCCAUUUUGUUCCUACCCUCGUUGAAGGUAAUCUCUUUGGGCUUUUUGAUUAGGUUUUCCUCCUUGUUAUUCUUAUUAUUCUGAUUAAUGCCUUUAUUCUUCUUAGUAGAAUUUUGCCGGUAAACAGUGUUAUCCAACUUGGAAAUAUUGUCUUGGACUUGAUUCUGUCUAGUGUUAUGAUUGCUACCAUUAUUCCUACUAUUGUCCGCUUUCAAGUGAUACCUUUUCAUAUUAUUAUCUUGACAUUUGUUAAUUUGUUGCUUGUGUAUAGUAUCAUGUUGAGUGUUGCUAUGAUUGUGAUUUAAUCUUGUUC
rnacentral:lncRNA from 1 species